GUAGGCCCCAAGCGUUAUCCGGAAUUAUUGGGCGUAAAGUGCGCGUAGGCGUUUUUGUAAGUCGGUCGUUAAAUCUCCGAGCUCAACUCGGAGACCGCGAGCGAUACUACAAGAAUUGAGUUUUGCAGGGGCUAGCAGAAUUUCUGGAGUAGGGGUGAAAUCCGUUGAUACCAGAAGGAAUACCAAUGGCGAAGGCAGCUAGCUGGGCAAUAACUGACGCUGAGAGCGCGAAAGCGUGGGUAGCAAACGGGAUUAGAUACCCCGGUAGUCCACGCCCUAAACUAUGUCUACUAGCGAUAGGAAGAGUCGACCCUUUCUGUUGUGAAGCUAACGCGUCAAGUAGACCGCCUGGGAAGUACGAUCGCAAGAUUA
rnacentral:rRNA from 1 species